rnacentral:rRNA from 1 species
UGCGCAGGCGGGCUCGUAAGUCAGUGGUGAAAUACUGCCGCUCAACGGUAGAACUGCCAUUGAUACUGCAAGUCUUGAAUAUGGUUGAGGUAGGCGGAAUGUGUCGUGUAGCGGUGAAAUGCAUAGAUAUGACACAGAACGCCAAUUGCGAAGGCAGCUUACUAAGCCAUUAUUGACGCUGAGGCACGAAAGCGUGGGGAGCGAACAGGAUUAGAUACCCUGGUAGUCC